AGUGAACGCUGGCGGUAUGCCUAACACAUGCAAGUCGAACGGCAGCACAGUAAGAGCUUGCUCUUACGGGUGGCGAGUGGCGGACGGGUGAGGAAUACAUCGGAAUCUACUUUUUCGUGGGGGAUAACGUAGGGAAACUUACGCUAAUACCGCAUACGACCUACGGGUGAAAGCAGGGGAUCUUCGGACCUUGCGCGAUUGAAUGAGCCGAUGUCGGAUUAGCUAGUUGGCGGGGUAAAGGCCCACCAAGGCGACGAUCCGUAGCUGGUCUGAGAGGAUGAUCAGCCUCACUGGAACUGAGACACGGUCCAGACUCCCACGGGAGGCAGCAGUGGGGAAUAUUGGACAAUGGGCGCAAGCCUGAUCCAGCCAUACCGCGUGGAUGAAGAAGGCCUUCGGGUUGUAAAGCCCUUUUGUUGGGAAAGAAAAGCAGCAGGUUAAUACCCCGCUGUUCUGACGGUACCCAAAGAAUAAGCACCGGCUAACUUCGUG
rnacentral:rRNA from 1 species